UUUUGAACGCUUUCGUUCCGUUCUGUGAUGGUGCUGUAAUUUCGGGCAAAAAAUAGAAAAACAGAGAAAACAAGACAGCUAGAGUUACAUGACUAAAUAAAGUAAUUGAACGUUUUUCCUUGCAAAGAAGCCCUUAAAUGACACAAGUUCUCAAAUGUAACGACUCGAAUCCAGAUGAUAUACUGCAUCGAUGCCUCUCGUGCAGGCGCAUUAAGUUCGCUUAUUGCCGGCAAUAAACUCAUUUACGUACUCGACCCGAGCACGCUGC